CAGGUUUUUAACGUAGCUCCUUUAAGAGGCUCCUUCACGGUGCUAACCUGUUGGCACACCUGUUCUCCAUAAUCAUCAGUGAGCACAGCAGUUCAUCCACCAAAGAUCUCUCUGGGAUUCGAAGCUGCUUCACAGCAGAGCUUCUCUGAGUUGGUGGGCCUGAGGUCCUUCUAAGAGAAGAAGUCAGAGGGAUGUCGUAAAGAAGAUAAGACCUCUGUAACAGCAGUUGAAGUUCACACUCGGGGAUCUGUGGAGUGAGAAAUGAGAAAGACAGGUGUUGGGAGGUGAAAAGAGUGCGACAGAAGAGCAGAGGAACGCUGUCGGCCAUCUUAGUCCAGCUCAGCCACUGAAGAAGGCAAAAAAUGGCUUAUUUACAAAUGGGACAAACAGACCCGGGCGGGGAAUGCUCUCAGGAGGCCGAGGAUGCUCGCCCAACGACCAGCGGAGAUGAAUCCCACACUUGUGAUCAGUGUGAAAGGACUUUUGCUACCAAGAGUCGCCUCACAGUACACAAACGGAUCCACGCAGAUGUAAAACUGUAUCGCUGUGACGAGUGCGGGACUUCUUUUUGUCGGAGCAGCAGCUUAAAAAGGCAUCGAGUCAUCCACAGUGGGCUUAGACCGUACACGUGUGAGCAGUGUGGGAAGACUUUCAAUCAGAUGAGCAUCUUGGAAAGGCAUCGACUCCUCCACAGUGGAAUUAAACCACACGUAUGUGACGAGUGCGGGCUGGCUUUUACCUGGCUGCCAAGCUUGAGGAAACAUCAGCUGUCCCACUCUGGGAUUGCAGACUGAAGCAGAUGCAUGCAGCGCUGUAGUAGCCACUGUUCUUUACCGGCUUCUUCACAGCGGGCCCCAACUGACGUACUGAGAAGAACUUGGAAGAUGUUUCUCCUCAGAGGCUCAUUAAAAGUCCAUGGAGUCACCCACAGACAGGAAAAACCGGGAGUUGGGGGUUCCUAGAACUCAAUUGUCUUCUUUUCUUUCUUUUCUGUGAUCUGCAGUAUCUGUAAUUUCUAAAGUGUCACAGUGAACAUUUGGUCACUUGCGUUUUUAACUUUGAACAGUUUUAAUGUCCCACUGAUUGAGGUGCGCAUUCAGAUCUCCCAUCAAUUGAACCUGACCAGUAGUAAAACAUCCAGAAAGUAAUCAGAUCACCAAGUGAAAGCUAAAACUGCUUUUAACUGCUUAUUAAACUGACUGCUUCUCUUAAGUAAUUGAUUAGCUGCUUAUAGGAAAAAGUGCCCCCCCCCUCCCCCCCAGCAGUUUAGUAUUUAUAGUUGAAAGAAAUCUGAUACUAGGGUAAUUUUUUGAAUCUUAAAUUGUAUAUUUUUUGUAUUCACCGUAUUUUUUUUUUUCUUUUGCUGUUGUUGCAUGGAAUCAACACAUCUGUACAUAUAGUACUGCAGUAAAGCUGUAUUUUUAGCAGUGUUUAAAGUUUGGUUGAGUUGUACCAUUGGAUCGUGUGUUAACAUCUGAACAUCAUGUAUUAUGACACGAUGCAACAUUUUGGAACGACUUGGCUUCUUUCGUGUUUAGGCGGUGCAAUGUAGCUACAACAUGUCACAUGUAAUGAUCUUCCAGUGUUUUUCCAUAGGUUAAAAAUAAAAUCCUGUUUAUAACUUCAGUUUGUACUGAUGGUCAGUGAAACAGUAAAGCUCUCUGACUUGUAGCUCCUCAUGUUUGAGGAACACACAUUAAUUAUACAGAUUUGAUGAAGUUAAAGUGCUGGCAGUCAAACUCAUCGUCUACCAUCAGU